GUGAAUCAUCAAAUUUUUGAACGCAAAUAGCACUCUCUUCGGAGAGUAUGCCUGUUUGAGGGUCAGCCUAAAAAAAUCGACAGAGGUGCUGUUUCGCGGUGACAUUCGUCGGAAAUUGGGUCAUCUUAAACCUUUGGGCUUUAAGCGGCUUAAAAUUUUCUUUACGAUGCCACGAACGUUUCUAAGAUUUUACUUCUUACACGUGUAAGGUAUCGAUCUUUAUUAGACGUGGCAGGUUGAU
rnacentral:misc_RNA from 1 species